AAUGGCUCAGUGGGAUUUUCCACGAUUUCCGUUCCAAUCAGAAGACCGGGGUUCGAGUCCGCAUGGUGGCCAAAACUUUUUUUUUGGUUUUUA
ensembl:ncRNA C47A10.14 ncRNA